CGCGUAUUACUUUGGGUAUUGGUUUAGCCACAGGCGCGCCUGAUACCCCACAGGCGGCCUGAGACAACAGGGUCGCCACCAGAGACGUUUUCCAGAAAACCCCCGGUCGGCAACCCGACCGGGGG
rfam:Pseudomonas sp. EGD-AK9 Contig_310, whole genome shotgun sequence.